CUCAUGGGGGUGGCUGUGCCAAGUUGUGCUGAGUAAGUGCAGACAGUUUUCUUCACAGCAAUCUUGCCCUCACCAACUUUCAGAAUGAGUCUCUUCUUCCUCUAUACCCAUGAAGAAAAUAUGGAGGGAAAAAAAACCCCAAACAUCUGACGGCCAUCUUCUCCAGAUGACAGAUCUGGCUCUGGGUCACCCCAAAAUUUAAACAUAGUGGGCAACUUGAGAGUCAAAAAUAAACCCUCUAAAUUUCUAUCUGUAAAAUGGAGAGGUUGGUUCCUUCUGGCUGACAGUCUAUAGUCACAAAGGCUCAACACCUCAGGGGCUGAAGGGGGACCUCAUCUAGUGCCCUGGAAAUCAAACCCUGGCCUCCAGUGGGGGAUGAAUCCACUCGCCUGCUGCUGGAACCAUGCCAGUUCUGGAGGGUUUAGACUGGUUCUGCGGUGCUUAAACUCACAAUGAUGCCAGGCUGGCAAGAAAGCUAGCGAUAAGGAAAAGAAGAUCAGGCUUUCUGUUGUUUUAAGGUCUACUGAUGAAGCAAAGGGGACGGCAUGGUGGGAACGGUGUGAAAUAGACAACAGACUUUAGAAAGCAGAGCUACAUGUCUCGUUUUGCUUCCGUUUUUCCUGCCAAGGAGAAUAAGAUGUAGGCUGGAAAGGACAGAACCACAAUAGCUAACAAGAGUUGAUACUCCUUCAUAAGUUCAAGUGAUCGGGUCCAUGAUGCUGGGAUACAAAACAACUGGCAGACAGGAUUUCUGGGCUCAUAUGAGAGAUCUCUGAUUAUUACAGAGAACAGAGGAGGUGUCAUGCUACCAGAAAAGCCAAAUGCCAAAUCAGUUCUCAAAAAAGCAAGAGAAUGAAGUUUGCAAGCUACGGAUCAGGAAACGAUUCCUGGCAAAACCAUAGGGAGCAUUAUUACAGGGAUAGAUAUCUGAAAAUGGAAGCAGUGAUCAAGAAGAGUGAGCCUGCAUGGCUUCAUCAAGGCCAGGUCACCGAUAAGUAGCAUGGCCUAGUGGAGACAGAGUGGCCACUGGAGUCAGGAAGACUAGACACACACUGGGUGUGGGAGCACAGGAACAUCGUUUACCCUCUCAGGGUCCCAGGCAACUCUCUAAACUAUCA